rfam:Brachypodium distachyon strain Bd21 chromosome 1, whole genome shotgun sequence.
AAUAUACUCCCUCCAUCCAACAAAAGAUGUCUCAAGUUUGUCAAAUUUUAAAUGUAUCUAGACAUGACUUAGUGUAUAGAUGCAUUCAAAUUGGAUCAAAUUUGAGACAUACUUUGUUGGACGGAGGAAGAAUAUA